rfam:Dipodomys ordii contig_18749, whole genome shotgun sequence.
GGUGGCUCAGUGGUAGAGCGCUUGCCUUGCAAGCUUGAGGCCCUGGGUUCGAUUCCUCAGCACCA